rnacentral:rRNA from 1 species
CUACAGGCUUAACACAUGCAAGUCGAGGGGCAGCAUGGUCUUAGCUUGCUAAGGCCGAUGGCGACCGGCGCACGGGUGAGUAACACGUAUCCAACCUGCCGUCUACUCUUGGACAGCCUUCUGAAAGGAAGAUUAAUACAAGAUGGCAUCAUGAGUCCGCAUGUUCACAUGAUUAAAGGUAUUCCGGUAGACGAUGGGGAUGCGUUCCAUUAGAUAGUAGGCGGGGUAACGGCCCACCUAGUCUUCGAUGGAUAGGGGUUCUGAGAGGAAGGUCCCCCACAUUGGAACUGAGACACGGUCCAAACUCCUACGGGAGGCAGCAGUGAGGAAUAUUGGUCAAUGGGCGCAGGCCUGAACCAGCCAAGUAGCGUGAAGGAUGACUGCCCUAUGGGUUGUAAACUUCUUUUAUAAAGGAAUAAAGUCGGGUAUGGAUACCCGUUUGCAUGUACUUUAUGAAUAAGGAUCGGCUAACUCCGUGCCAGCAGCCGCGGUAAUACGGAGGAUCCGAGCGUUAUCCGGAUUUAUUGGGUUUAAAGGGAGCGUAGAUGGAUGUUUAAGUCAGUUGUGAAAGUUUGCAGCUCAACCGUAAAAUUGCAGUUGAUACUGGAUAUCUUGAGUGCAGUUGAGGCAGGCGGAAUUCGUGGUGUAGCGGUGAAAUGCUUAGAUAUCACGAAGAACUCCGAUUGCGAAGGCAGCCUGCUAAGCUGCAACUGACAUUGAGGCUCGAAAGUGUGGGUAUCAAACAGGAUUAGAUACCCUGGUAGUCCACACGGUAAACGAUGAAUACUCGCUGUUUGCGAUAUACAGCAAGCGGCCAAGCGAAAGCGUUAAGUAUUCCACCUGGGGAGUACGCCGGCAACGGUGAAACUCAAAGGAAUUGACGGGGGCCCGCACAAGCGGAGGAACAUGUGGUUUAAUUCGAUGAUACGCGAGGAACCUUACCCGGGCUUAAAUUGCAGAUGAAUUACGGUGAAAGCCGUAAGCCGCAAGGCAUCUGUGAAGGUGCUGCAUGGUUGUCGUCAGCUCGUGCCGUGAGGUGUCGGCUUAAGUGCCAUAACGAGCGCAACCCUUGUUGUCAGUUACUAACAGGUUCCGCUGGGGACUCUGACAAGACUGCCAUCGUAAGAUGUGAGGAAGGUGGGGAUGACGUCAAAUCAGCACGGCCCUUACGUCCGGGGCUACACACGUGUUACAAUGGGGGGUACAGAGGGCCGCUACCACGCGAGUGGAUGCCAAUCCCCAAAACCUCUCUCAGUUCGGACUGGAGUCUGCAACCCGACUCCACGAAGCUGGAUUCGCUAGUAAUCGCGCAUCAGCCACGGCGCGGUGAAUACGUUCCCGGGCCUUGUACACACCGCCCGUCAAGCCAUGGGAGCCGGGGGUACCUGAAGUGCGUAACCGCGAGGAGCGCCCUAGGGUAAAACUGGUGACUGGGGCUAAAU